AUGGUGUCACAAAAUCGGGCGCACCGACUGUUUACUAAAAACACAGAUAACUGCUAAUAUUAGAUAUAUUUGUAUAGUUGUCGAAUUUUGCCCAAUGCCAUUAAUAUAAACAAGGUGAGUUAUUUUUACCAAGUGAAAAUCUGGUCAAUGGCGGUCUUAACCAUAAGGAUCCAAAGGUAGCAAAAUUCAUUGUCCGCUAAAUACGGUCCUGCAUGAAUAAAGUAACGAUUGCGCCACUGUCUCUACAAGUAUCUCAGUGAAAUUGAAUUAGCCGUGAAGAUGCGGUUUGUCUAUGGUC
rnacentral:rRNA from 1 species